rnacentral:rRNA from 1 species
AUUGAACGCUGGCGGCAGGCCUAACACAUGCAAGUCGGACGGUAGCACAGAGGAGCUUGCUCCUCGGGUGACGAGUGGCGGACGGGUGAGUAAUGUCUGGGGAUCUGCCCGAUAGAGGGGGAUAACCACUGGAAACGGUGGCUAAUACCGCAUAACGUCGCAAGACCAAAGAGGGGGACCUUCGGGCCUCUCACUAUCGGAUGAACCCAGAUGGGAUUAACUAGUAGGCGGGGUAAUGGCCCACCUAGGCGACGAUCCCUAGCUGGUCUGGGAGGAUGACCAGCCACACUGGAACGGACACACGCGCCAGACUCCUACGGGAGGCAGCAGUGGGGAAUAUUGCACAAUGGGCGCAAGCCUGAUGCAGCCAUGCCGCGUGUAUGAAGAAGGCCUUCGGGUUGUAAAGUACUUUCAGCGGGGAGGAAGGCGAUAAGGUUAAUAACCUUGUCGAUUGACGUUACCCGCAGAAGAAGCACCGGCUAACUCCGUGCCAGCAGCCGCCGUAA